rnacentral:rRNA from 1 species
ACGGUCUUCCUCAGUGGGGAAUAUUGCACAAUGGGCGCAAGCCUGAUGCAGCGAUGCCGCGUGAGGGAAGAAGGUUUUCGGAUUGUAAACCUCUGUCAUCGGGGACGAUAAUGACUGUACCCGAGAAGGAAGCUCCGGCUAACUACGUGCCAGCAGCCGCGGUAGUACGUAGGGAGCGAGCGUUAUCCGGAAUUACUGGGUGUAAAGGGAGUGUAGGCGGGACUGUAAGUCAGAUGUGAAAUAUGCCGGCUCAACUGGCAGACUGCAUUUGAAACUGCGGUUCUUGAGUGAAGUAGAGGUAAGCGGAAUUCCUAGUGUAGCGGUGAAAUGCGUAGAUAUUAGGAGGAACAUCAGUGGCGAAGGCGGCUUACUGGGCUUUAACUGACGCUGAGGCUCGAAAGCGUGGGGAGCAAACAGGAUUAGAUACCCUGGUA